GCAAACUUGGUCAUUUAGAGGAAGUAAAAGUCGUAACAAGGUUUCCGUAGGUGAACCUGCGGAAGGAUCAUUACCAUGAAGCGGCUUGGAAUAUCCAAGUUCGCCAACCCUUUGCGUAUCUCCCUGUUGCUUCGGCGGGACGUUCAUGGCCCAUCGUCAUGACCACCGGGUUUUCGGUGUGUGCUCGUCAGAAGACCCAAUCACUAUAUUUUUUGAUGACGUCUGAGCAAAUGAGAAAUCAAACCAAAACUUUCAACAACGGAUCUCUUGGUUCCGGCAUCGAUGAAGAACGCAGC
rnacentral:misc_RNA from 1 species